rnacentral:lncRNA from 13 species
CUUGAACCCAGGAGGCAGAGAUUGCAGUGAACCAAGAUCGGCCACUGCACUCCAGCAUGGGUAACAGAGCAAGACUCCUUCUCAAAAAAAAAAAAAAAAAAAUGAAAUCAUGUCUUUUGCAACAUAGAUGGAACUGGAGACCUUUAUUAACAGAAAGUCAAAUACUGCAUUUUCUCACUUAUAAGUGAAAGCUAAACAAUGGGUGCACAUGGAUAUACAGAGUGAAAUAAUAGACACUGGAGACUGCUAAAGGUGAGAGGGUGGGAAGAAGGCGAGGACUGAAAAAUUACCAAUUUGGUCCAAUGUUCACCCUUUGGGUGAUGGGUCCAAUUAAAGCCCAGACUUCACCAUUGCAAAAUACAUGCAUGUAUGAAAUCUGCACUUGUACCUCCUACAUUGUUUUUAAAUCUACAAUCAGGGAGUUCCUGAUAAAUACAAGUGGAAAAUGGUAUUUUCCAGGUGCUCAGCUGGAUGGCUUCUGUUCUGGAGGCAGCCUUUGGUCCUGGAAUUGUGACAAAGUCUACCUCAACCAAGGAGCACUGGAUUCAAAGUGGAAUCUAGAAAGACUUCCAUCCAGGUGGUGUUCCCAGACCGAGCAAUGCUUUAUUAGCAUGAUCAACAAAAAUGCCAUGAUUGAAAAGAGCAAAUGGAAGAAACCGGAGUGGAGGACUGGUCUAUUUUCACCUGGCUGGGCUAUUUCCUCAGUGGUGAGCUGAGGAGAAGAGUCCAGGUCUAUUUUGCAAGCUCAAUAUUAAAGUCGAAUGAUAAUGGACAUGAAGUGCUUUGUUUUUUUGUUUUGUUUUGUUUUGUUUUUUUGUUUUUUUUUAUUGAGUAGAGGUGAGGAACUAGGAUGUUGAAAAGUAAAAAAAGGAGAGAAGGAGAGGAAGAAAGGAAGAAAAAGAGGGAGAGAGAACAGGAAUAUUGCUUCAUUCUAAAAAUGGGGAUUAAUAAUGGCCAAUCAAUAUUUUGUGUAUUUAAAAUGGAGCACUCUAUAAAUAUUUAUUGAGUUUACUUGUUCCGGAUCUGAGUUGAAGUCCUGGAUAUCCUUAUUAAUUUUCUGUCUCGUUGAGUCUAAAUCUCAUUAUGGGUCUUAUGUAUCUGGGUAUUAAGAUCUCUUAUUGUUGCAUUGAUCCUUUUACCACUGUAUCUUUGUUGCUUUGAAAUGUAUUUUAUCAAAUGUGAGAAUUGCAACUCCUGCUUUUUGUUUAUUUAUUUAUUUAUUUUUGCUCUCCAUUUGGUUGGUAAAUUUUUCUCCAAACCUUUGUUUUGAGUCUUUGUGUAUCUUUGGAUAUACAGUUAGGUUUUGGCUGUAUCUUUUGAUUGGGGGAUUUAGUCAAUUUAAAUUUAGCGUUACUGCCAUUUGAUGUUAACUGGCUAUUUUAUCCAUUCGUUGAUGUAAAUUUUUCUUUAUGUUGAUGCUCUUUACUUUUUGGUAUAUUUUUAGAAAGGCUUAUACUGGUUGUUCCUUUCUAUGUAUAAUGCUUCUUUCAGAAGUUCUUGUAAAGCAGGCCUGGUGGUAAUAAAAUCUCUGAGUACUUGCUUGUUCA